GAUGAGCCCGCGGCCUGUUAGCUAGUCGGCGGGGUAACGGCCCACCGAGGCGAUUAUGGGUAGCCGGGUUGAGAGACCGACCGGCCAGAUUGGGACUGAGACACGGCCCAGACUCCUACGGGAGGCAGCAGUGGGGAAUCUUGCGCAAUGGGCGGAAGCCUGACGCAGCGACGCCGCGUGCGGGACGAAGGCCUUCGGGUCGUAAACCGCUUUCAGCAGGGACGAGGCCCUCACGGUGACGGUACCUGCAGAAGAAGCCCCGGCUAACUACGUGCCAGCAGCCGCGGUAAUACGUAGGGGGCGAGCGUUAUCCGGAUUCAUUGGGCGUAAAGCGCGCGUAGGCGGCCUGUUAGGUCGGGGGUCAAAUACCGGGGCUCAACCCCGGUCCGCCCCCGAUACCGGCAGGCUUGAGUCUGGUAGGCGAAGGCGGAAUUCCCAGUGUAGCGGUGGAAUGCGCAGAUAUUGGGAAGAACACCGGCGGCGAAGGCGGCCUUCUGGGCCACGACUGACGCUGAGGCGCGAAAGCUAGGGGAGCGAACAGGAUUAGAUACCCUGGUAGUCCUA
rnacentral:rRNA from 1 species